rnacentral:snRNA from 1 species
GUGCUUAUUUUGGCAGCAUAUGUACUAAAAUUGGAACAAUACAGAGAAGAUUAUCAUGGCCACUGUGGAUGACAUGCAAAUCUGUGAAGCGGUCUGUUUUUUA